GACGAACGCUGGCGGCGUGCCUAAUACAUGCCAGUUGAGCGAUGAAGAUUGGUUCUUGCACCAAUUUGAAGAGCAGCGAACGGGUGAGUAACGCGUGUGGAAUCUGCCUUUGAGCGGGGGACAACAUUUGGAAACGAAUGCUAAUACCGCAUAACAACUUUAAACAUAAGUUUUAAGUUUGAAAGAUGCAAUUGCAUCACUCAAAGAUGAUCCCGCGUUGUAUUAGCUAGUUGGUGAGGUAAAGGCUCACCAAGGCGAUGAUACAUAGCCGACCUGAGAGGGUGAUCGGCCACAUUGAGACUGAGACACGGCCCAAACUCCUACGGGAGGCAGCAGUAGGGAAUCUUCGGCAAUGGACGAAAGUCUGACCGAGCAACGCCGCGUGAGUGAAGAAGGUUUUCGGAUCGUAAAACUCUGUUGGUAGAGAAGAACGUUGGUGAGAGUGGAAAGCUCAUCAAGUGACGGUAACUACCCAGAAAGGGACGGCUAACUACGUG
rnacentral:rRNA from 1 species